UGAUCAGCUUCAUCCCUCUAGUGCCUCCUCAGCAUCCCCAUCCCAGCCCCAGUGCUACUCUUCUUAGGGAGUUCCCCUGAACCCUCAAGACAUGAUUGUUUGCUUUACUUUACUUUACCGUAGAGCCCUCUUUUUGUCCUUUAGUGUGCUUUUUGCUAGGUUUAAUAGAUGACUGUCUUCUCCACCAGACAAUAAGUUCCAGCCUGCAGGGACCAUGUUUUGUUCAUCCUCAGAUCCACAGCCCCUAGCAGAGUGCCUGUGGGGACUUAGUCAAUAUCGCCUUGGUGACGGAGUGAGUGACUGAGAAGGCCCUCUCCUACAAGAAGCCUUCCACGAUCUCCAAGAGGAGAGCCACCUUCCUUGUCUCUCAACAUCAGCAGUGAUGCCCCCCUCUGCUCUUGUAGCGUUUGCCACUGUUUACCUUGCUUUGUGAUUGCUGAUGGCCACUCCUGCCCGCUCUCCUCAUGCGGAUCUCCCUCUGGACAAUCCAGAUCUCAUCCAGUUUGAAUCUCCAGUCCUCACACAAUGCCUGGCUCAUAGUAGGUGCACGGUAAAUAGUUGAGAGGCAAAUGGUGACUGAUUGGAGUUUGGGGACAGACCUUGUUUAUCUGGGGAGAAAGACCAGAUGCUCCAGGUGGUUUAUGUAAUCGUCAUUUUCUUUGUGAAUUCAUGAUUGUUUUAUUUCAGUGUUGCUUUUCCAAAGGUCUGCUUCUCCCCGGACCUGCACAGAUUGCUUGAGUCAGGCUGAUCAAACGCCUGGCAGCUGUGAGAAGAGGGAACUCAUGGCUCAGGGGGAGAAGGAAGAUCAAGCUGGCAAAGCUGGAGCCUUGGAAACAAGAAAAAUCUCAAGAAGGCAAUAGUAACAAUGCCAUCCUGCAGAUGCCACAGGCAGAGAGGGGAGCUGAGCUUGCAGCCCUAAGACUGGAGUUUCCUUUAGGGGAGGCUCAGAGAGAACAGCUUGGCAAUGCCACCGGGGGUCCCCGAGACAUCACCUUCUCACCACUGCCUGCCCCUGCCAGGCAGCUGUCUCCAAAUCCAGCGGAUUCCUUCCUCCAGGGGCAAAAUGGUAGCAAAAGCCUGGGCUCUGAUGUCAAAUGGGUCUGAGUUUCUGUUGUGGUUCUGCCACCGCUGGUUAUGUGACCUUGGCUUUGAUCUCUCCAAGCUGCAGCCCCCUCAUCUGCAAAAUCGGAAUUAUAAUAACGUUUGCUGCAGGCUGUUGAGAGGGUUAGGUGAGGUCAUACAUAAAGAUUGACUAGUGCUGUGUGUGUGACACAUAGGAAUUCUCUGCUGAAGCAGCCUGAACCCACGCCCUCAUGGUUUUCUCCUCUGAAUGCUAAGACUGCCCCAUUACUGAGCCCUCACGUCCAGCCGGCUGGAAUGAGCUCCCCGUCGCUGGAGGUAUUCAAGGAGCAACCUGAUGCUUUCUUGUGCUUCAUGCUCUGGGUGGGAGGAGUGAGGGUGUGGGUGGUCAGCCCAGAUGGCCUCCAGUUAGAAACUGAGGAGAGGUUUGGAUCCUGUUAAACCGCGAGCCGGGGACUCCAUGUGUCAGCGUGCUGCCUGGCAAUUAAAAUCGGGAGCAUUUAGUCUGAAGAGAGUUCCAGCUUCGUUGUUUGCUCUUUUAAUCUUGUCUGUUGCCAUGGGAACGGCAAGUGAUUGCAAUCACCACUGUUUGUAUUGUGAGCUUGUUCCCAUCAAUGCGGC
rnacentral:lncRNA from 1 species